rnacentral:rRNA from 1 species
GAUGAACGCUGGCGGCGUGCCUAAUACAUGCAAGUCGAGCGACGCGGGGGCGGGUGAGUAACACGUGGCUAACCUCCUAUAAGACUGGGGUAACUUCGGGAAACCGGAACUAAACCGCAUACUUAUCGAUCGCUCCGCGCUGCAUUAGCUAGUUGGUAAGGUAACGGCUGACAAAGGCAACGAUGCAUAGCCGACCUGAGAGGGUGAUCGGCAACACUGGAACUGAGACACGGUCCAGACGCCUACGGGAGGCAGCAGUAGGGAAUCUUACGCAAUGGGCGAAAGCCUGACGGAGCCACGCCGCGUGAGUGAUGAAGGUCUUCGGAUCGUAAAACUCUGUUAUUAGGGAAGCGUUACCUAAUCAGAAAGCCACGGCUAACUACGUGCCAGCAGCCGCGGUAAUAC